rnacentral:lncRNA from 1 species
GAUGAAUGUACAAGGCUGAAGAUGGAGCUUCUUUUUACAGACAACUUUGCACACUAUUGCACACACCUUUUGACACACUUUCUCGGGCACACUUCUUUUUUUUUUACUACCACUAAUUUAUAGGCAAAGCAUUUACAAGUGACAGGUGAGAAUACAGGUGAGAAUUAAUUUCAAGUGGUUGGAUGGUAGGAAAAUAUUUACAGUGUUCAGAGGUUUGGUAUAAAAUAAAUACAAAGACUUUUGAGACUUUUACUUGUGACUUUUGUUUAUUCAUCCGUUCUUCUCUUCCUUCUUGUCUCUUUCUCUUGUCAUUUUCUUGCAUAAUACGUGGCUUGUGGAUGCCUUUACUGCUUCUGAACUUGUAUUGCCAUAUUUAAUUUUUGUAGUUGAAGACGCAUUUACUGCUUUAAUGUCGUCAUUGCUGACAUCAUCCUUCCAUUGCAUUUUGUAGAUUAUGAUAACUUUCAUCGUCCAGGUUGUCCCAAAAUAAUGCGUCAUCGCUGAGGUAGGAAGAUGGUUCCGGUAUAUCUACACUGAGUUCGUUUAUAAAAUCCUGUUCUUCUAAAGUAAUAAAAGGGUUUGGAACAAUAAUGUGUUCUAAAGGUUUUACUCUCCAUAUAGACAUGGUUUUUGUUUCGCCAAUGAGAUGAAAUAAUUUAUUCCGGGUUGGUCUAAGAUCA